rnacentral:rRNA from 1 species
UACGAAGGGGGCUAGCGUUGCUCGGAAUCACUGGGCGUAAAGCGCACGUAGGCGGCUUUUUAAGUCAGAGGUGAAAUCCUGGAGCUCAACUCCAGAACUGCCUUUGAUACUGGAGAGCUUGAGUCCGGGAGAGGUGAGUGGAACUGCGAGUGUAGAGAUGAAAUUCGUAGAUAUUCGCAAGAACACCAGUGGCGAAGGCGGCUCACUGGCCCGGUACUGACGCUGAGGUGCGAAAGCGUGGGGAGCAAACAGG